rnacentral:lncRNA from 1 species
CUGAAGUCUAUUCCAAAGACAGGGGUUACGAUUUGGAGAGAGCAAAGUGCGAUUUUGAGACCUAAAGACGGCUAGGAGGGCGAUUUCUUCAACCUUCUAUCAGUUCAUGUAUGUUUUGAUUCCACUAUUGAUUAUGCUAUUUGUAAACUCAAUUAUGAGUAGCUAAAUCUCUUAGAGAUUAGGUCUGAGAUGAUUCUUUGUAACCCUAAUUGAACCAUGUUGCUGUGAAACUCUAUUUAUUGUGAAUGACAAUCUAGUUUUUAUUCAAUUCAAUUGUUCUUAAUGCUUUUUAUAUCCUGAUCAAAUAUAAACAUGAUUUAGUGAGAAUGAAUGACUACUGACCAUAGCUUUCUACUUAGACAGAAUUGAAUUGUUCUAAUAAACAGGGUUAGUCUAGGAAUGGAUAAUCGUUUGUUAGUGAUAUUAGGUUAACGUUCUUAAAACCUUCAAAGAUUAUUAGACCACCUAAGGAAUUAGGGGCUGUAGUUUGAUAAGAGGGUCCUAACUCAAAGGAUUGAUUAGGACUAUUUUGUUAACUAUCGUGGAACUAGAAAAUCAUUCAUAAGAAUAGGUGCAGUAUACCAAUUAGGGGAACAUAGAUGAUUCGAAAGACCUGAUCUCAUCUCUCUC